AGAUGUAACUCCAAAAUUUACUUCAAAUGCAGAUCUAGGUAUAAUUUCUUAAAUGUGAGGCCUGCAAGGAAAGUAUAAAAUAUCACGUUCUAAUAGCUGUUCCAAAUUAUACAUGCUCCUUUUAGACGACCUGUAUUCGAAGCCGUUAUAUCGCAACAUAAAGCUUGUAUAUUAUCGAUAAGGCCCCAUUCUUUAAGUGCUUUAAACACUGCUUCCGCUUGAUUUUGACCAGUUCCGGAUAUAAGCUUAGGAACACUUAACAACUUUUCAGAAUUUUUAAAAGAAAC